GACGGAGGAUGCAAGUGUUAUCCGGAAUCACUGGGCGUAAAGCGUCUGUAGGUGGUCAAAUAAGUCAACUGUUAAAUCUUGAGGCUCAACCUCAAAACCGCAGUCGAAACUAUUAGACUAGAGUAUAGUAGGGGUAAAGGGAAUUUCCAGUGGAGCGGUGAAAUGCGUAGAGAUUGGAAAGAACACCGAUGGCGAAGGCACUCUACUGGGCCAUUACUGACACUGAGAGACGAAAGCUAGGGGAGCAAAUGGG
rnacentral:rRNA from 1 species